rnacentral:lncRNA from 9 species
UCCUUGCUUCUGUAGUUUCAUCCUAUUUCUUUGUGGUUUUUAUUUCCCCAGAAAGAAUGAAGAAUAGCUGCCAGUGGUCCUACAAAUUUGAAGAUUUGAAGCCCAUUACAGUGUUGAAGAUGGUUUUCUUCCCGUUGCCAUCAUUUCAAGUUAGGGUGGAUUUGACUCCGAGAGGCUCAGAGCUGUAAACUCCUCCAGGGCAGGACCUGACUCUUCAGAAGAAUUUUUUAACCCCUGCACCCCCACCCCCCACCCUGGAGCUGCCCAGGUCAAGGCCCUGAUAGAGCAGACGUUCAAGAGCAAUGACUAACUGCAGUUGAAAGCCCAGAAGAUACAACAAGCAAAAUCCUGCAUAUAGCCCUGGAGGGACGUGGAGGUGAGCCAGAACUGGAGGGCCUCCGCUUCAGUGGGAUGACCGAGACUCAACAGCAUGAGAAUUUGCCAGCAGUGAGGGCCAUCAAAGAAAUGGAGACUGAGAAGGAGACGAUGCCGUUGAACAGAUAUAAAAAGAUGAGUCUCAGAAACUUCAGAUGGAAACUUAGGACUGUAACUACCAAGACCAGACAGAUUGAACCUGGGGUAGCAGGUACCUGUCUCCUCUCUCCCUCAUUCUAAUUUCAGUUUCCUGGGAGUCAGGGUGCAGCCAAGAGCUGGGGGAGAGGGAGCUUUGAUCUCAUGCCCUUGCGUGCUCUAAUGAAGGAGGCUGCCGCCCUGUCUGGGUUUCUCAGGAGCUCACUCAGAGGCCUGCAGACGAGGGCUUCUGAGCCAAAUCUAUGGCAAAGUCCUGGCUGGCAUGAAGCAGCCUCUUAGAGAGGCAAAGGGGAAGCGAGACUUGGGCUUUGGAGAAGGCAGUUCAGCCAUUUCCCCCACCACGCUGCCCCACCGUGCCUGGCUCUUACACCUCCCUGUGCUGAUCUUCACCACUCUUUCCUGAAAACCUUCCUUUCUUCAUUUGAUUUCAGUGUUAAUGGCUGGGAAGGACCUUUCUGCAUUUAAUUUUACUGGCAUCCUGCCUCAGUGGUAACUUCUAGGACAUGCAUGCAAAAGCUUUUAAUAUGUUUAAAAGUGAUGGCAGGAGUUCCCGUUGUGGCUCAGCAGAAAUGAAUCUGAUUAGCAUCCACGAGGACGCAGGUUCGAUCCCUGGCCUUGCUCAGUGAGUUAAGGAUCCAGCAUUGCCAUGAGCUGUGGUGUAGGUUGCAGACGCGGCUCGGAUCUGAUGUGGCUGUGGCUGUGGCGUAGGCCAGCAGCUACAGCUCUGAUUCAACCCCUAGCCUGGGAGCUCCCAUGUGCCAUGGGUGUGGCCCUAAAAAGCAAAAAAAAUAAAAAUAAAAAAUAAAUAAAAGCAAUGGCAGAGUUAUCAUAGAGCCUUGUCAUGUGAGAAUUUUAGCUUUCUUUGCAUUUACUUGCCGUUUGCUGGUUGCACCAUAUGCAAUUGUUGACAUAUUUGACCAUUUUGGCCUCCAAAAAUGGUAGUCUCAUAGGUUUCAACUGAAUAUGAAGAACCUACUGUGUGUUUGAUAGGACUAUGAGGCAGUUUGGUAUAGUGGUUAAAAAUCAGAGCCAGGAGUUCCCGUCGUGGCGCAGUGGUUAACGAAUCCGACUAGGAACCAUGAGGUUGCGGGUUCGGUCCCUGCCCUUGCUCAGUGGGUUAACGAUCCGGCGUUGCCGUGAGCUGUGGUGUAGGUUGCAGACGCGGCUCGGAUCCCGCGUUGCUGUGGCUCUGGCGUAGGCCGGUGGCUACAGCUCCGAUUCGACCCCUAGCCUGGGAACCUCCAUAUGCCGCGGGAGCGGCCCAAGAAAUAGCAACAACAACAACAACAAAAAAGACAAAAAGACCAAAAAAAAAAAAAAAAAAAAAAUCAGAGCCAAACUACUUUUCUUCCACCAUCUGGUCUCAAACAAGUUACCUGCCUUUUCUGUGUCUCCAUGUCCUCAUCUUUAGUUUCCUGGGAAGAUAAUAAUAGUACUUACUUCAAAGGGUUGUGAGAAUUUAAAUGAACUGUCAUAUAUAAAGCCCUUAGAACAAACAGUACCUUACUCAAACCUGGCUCUAUAUAAAUAUCGACUAUUAUCACAUGCGGGUCCCUAUCAUCUCAUUUAGUUUUAUUAUUAGAUAUUUCAGGAAAAUGGUGAGAGGAGUUCCCAGGUGGCACAGCAGGUUAAGAAUCUUGGAUGGUCCUUGCUGUGGCAUGGGUUAGACCCUAGCCCCAGAACUUCUGCAUGCUGCUGGUGUGGCCAAAAAAAAAAAAAAAAAAAAAAGAAGGGAAAAGAAAAUGGAGGGAAGUGAUCAGAAUCAGAUUGUAUUUUGAAUUUAGACCUAACAAGACUUUCCUAUGGAUUUGGUGAGGAUUAUAUGAAAGAGAAGUCAAGGAUGAUACCAAGCUUUUUGCCUGGGCACAUGGAUGAAUGAUAGUGCCAUUUUCAUUUAAAUGGGGAAAUCUUGAGAGAGGUUUGGGGGGAAAAUGCAUACUUGGUUUCAAAGAUUUUAAUUUUGAGAUGCUUAUUAGACACCUGAGUAGAAAUUUUGAAUUAGAAGUUGGAUAUAUGAGUGUGAUGUUUAGGGGAUAAGUAUAAACUACAGAUGUAAAUUUAAAAUUCAUUAGCAUGAUAAUGAUUCUUGCCUUAAAUUCCCACAUAUCUUCCUCUGAAGUGUUGCACGUUUUCUUUUCACAUUUAAAUCUUUACUCUAGUUGGAAUUAGUUUUCUCCAGCCUUUUUGCUACUGGUUUGAAAGAUCAGAUACCAGAUUUAAAUAGGAUUGGUCUGUUUCUGGGUUCUCUGUUCUUUUAAAUUGGUCCCUCUGACCAACUCUAUGCAAAUACCUCAAUAUCUUAAUUAUUAUCUGAUUUAGUCAGGGCUUGGUGCAAGAAAAGAAAUAACUCUGGAUAGCUUAGGCAGAAAGGAAUUUACCAUUAAAUUAGAGAAAGAAUUAAAGAAAUUGUUGGAAGAGCUGAGAGAACAGGAGUGGAAGGUGCCACUAAACUUGUUAGUUGAAGAACAUACUGCUGAGGUUGUGAUCAAGAGGCCAGGAAGCUGCUGCUCCCUCAUCAAAGCUGUCAGCCCCGCCCCAAAGCUUCUGAGAACAAGGCUGCUGUUGCCAUUUAUAACUUUCUUAGUCAAAUACUUAUUCCAGUCUACAUAUUAUCUAAUUUCCAUUAUUAUGUUUCAAACUUUUCACAAAUGUCCAACUAUUUGAGACUUUAAUCUGUUAUUGCUAUCUAAAUUGCUUGUGUUCAGUGAAGUAUAGUCUGUAUAACAUUGAUUCUUUUUAUUUGUUGAGAUUUGUUUUGUGUCCCAGUAUAUGGUCAACUCUUGAAAUGUUCUUUUGUUUUUUCUUUUUGAGCCAUACCCUUGGCAUAUGGAAGUUCCCAGGCCAGGGGUUUGAAUCCCUUAACCCACUGUGCCACAGUGGUAACUCCUGUAUGUUCUUAAAACAAAUGUAUUUUCUCUAAUUGUUGAAUAAGGGUUUCUACAUAUAUUCAUUAGAGAAUGCUUGUUAAUUGUGUUAUUCAAAUCUCCUAUGUCUUUACUAAUUUUUG